rnacentral:rRNA from 1 species
AUGGUCGAAGGCUUGGAGUCGGACAUCUCCAAUCUUAAGUUCCUUCUUCUCUGCUUCCAACAAAUGUCUGGCCUUAAGAUAAACUUCGGCAAGAGCGAUGUGAUGGUGAUGGGCUACUCUCCAGCCGAGUUCCUUGCCAUUGCCAACCGGCUUAACUGCCGCCUCGGCUCCUUUCCCACGACCUACUUGGAAACGCCCAUUAGCGACUCUCGGCUCACCGUCGCGGACUUGCGCCCGACCGUGACUAAGCUUCAAAUGCGUAUCGAGCCUUGGCAGGGUAGAUGGUUGUCUAAGGUGGCUCGGACCAUUCUCAUUAAUUCAUCCCUCUCCAGCCUCCUUUUGUUCCUCAUGAGCUUCUAUAGCCUUCACGAGACUCUGCACCAUGAGAUCGCCAAAGUUCAGUCUCGUUUUUAUUGGGCAGGCGACAACAAUAAGCAGAAAUACCACAUGGUCAGCUGGCCUGACAUCUGCAAGCCCAGGGAACAAGGAGGCCUCGGUAUCAUGUGCUCCAAGCGCAUGAACAUCGCCCUCCUAUCCCGCUGGCUCUGGCGCAUCUCGCAAGGCUAUGGUGGCCUCUGGCUC